rnacentral:lncRNA from 1 species
AUGGGACGACACUCCAGAGUGGAGCUAGGGACCAAAAGAAGGAAUAAGGCAGCUUAUCUUGCUGAUUGUGAACCUGAGGUGCUGAAAGGAGUCAGCAGAGGAGAAAGUGAGGAAACGGCUCGCUGGUUCCAGUGUACAAUACUAUGCAAGAGCAAAAAACUAGAGGGUCAAGUCUUCAUGGUUGGACCACGGGUCUACUUAGAUAAAAUACCUCGACUUGACACAACAUAUUCCUCUGUGAAUAUAGAUCUCAUUGGAAUUGCAAGAAAGAACAAUGAAGACCAACAGCAGCCACACUGUGUGUUCCUGUGAUCAUCUGUCAAUAUUCGCUCUCAUCAUGCAAACCAGCCAUCCACACUAUGACAUGUUUUUUCAGAGCAACUUACAGCAACUUCUGAUGAUUUUUGUGUAUGUGACCGUGGGGGUGGUCUUCAUUUUGGCCCUGCUGACCCUUAUCAUUUUCAUAGCAGUUUAUUCCCAUGUGUGAUUGGAUAUCUGGUUCCUCUGAUUUCUGAAAGCUAUGGCAGUGAGCAGUAUGUAGUUUUUUAGUUUAUUUGUUGUUAAUUUGUUUAGAUGGAGGAAUCAUGUUAUAGAACUGUAUAUUCAUUUAAAUAUUAAUAAGCUUGAUACAAAAUGAUAUAAAUGGCAACAUUAUUUUUUUAAGAAGGAAGGCCACAGGUUUGAUGGAUAUUGUGAUAUACAUUUAAAACUAAACCAUAAAAUAACUCUGUGAUCAGAUAAUAUCUUAUUCAAAGUAAAUCUGCAUUGUCAUGUGGCUUGGAAUUUGUGUUUUAAAAAUUGUGAAUGACUAGAUUGUAUAUUACUUU